ACCCGCUGAACUUAAGCAUAUCAAUAAGCGGAGGAAAAGAAACCAACAGGGAUUGCCUCAGUAACGGCGAGUGAAGCGGCAAGAGCUCAAAUUUAAAAGCCGACGUAGCUUUAAGAGACGUCCGCAUUGUAAUUUGAAGAGGCAUUCUCGGGUCGGGGCUCAGGCCUAAGUUCCUUGGAAGAGGGCGUCGUGGAGGGUGAGAACCCCGUUCGCGGCCUGCUGUCGACCUCUCCCCGAUCCACACGAGGUGCCAUCGAAGAGUCGAGUUGUUUGGGAAUGCAGCUCAAAGCGGGUGGUAAUUUCAUCUAAAGCUUAAUAUUGACGGGAGAACGAUAGCGAACAAGGUAGAGUGAUCGAAAGAUGAAAAGCACUUUUGAAAGAGAGUUAAACAGCACGUGAAAUUGUUGAAAGGGAAGCGCUUGAGACCAGUCACGGACCGAGGCGAUCAGUGGGACGUCCCUCUCGGGGGAGGAACCGCGCACUCGCUUUUCGGGUUUUCCGGGUCAACAUCGGUUGGGACGGUGUCAGAAAGGUCGCGGGAACGUGGCUCCCUUCACGGGGAGUGUUAUAGCCCGUGGCGUCAAAGUCGCCAGUUUCGACCGAGGACCGCGCUCGUCUUUUUCGAGCAAGGAUGUUGACGUAAUGGUCCC
rnacentral:rRNA from 1 species